rnacentral:rRNA from 1 species
CAGAGGUCUCAAGCGUUGUUCGGAUUCAUUGGGCGUAAAGGGUGCGUAGGUGGCGCCGUAAGUCGGGUGUGAAAUUUCGGAGCUCAACUCCGAAACUGCAUUCGAUACUGCGGUGCUUGAGGACUGGAGAGGAGACUGGAAUUCAUGGUGUAGCAGUGAAAUGCGUAGAGAUCAUGAGGAAGACCAGUGGCGAAGGCGGGUCUCUGGACAGUUCCUGACACUGAGGCACGAAGGCCAGGGGAGCAAACGGGAUUAGAUACCCCGGUAGUCCUGGCAGUAAACGGUGCACGUUUGGUGUGGGAGGAUUCGACCCCUUCCGCGCCGGAGCUAACGCGUUAAACGUGCCGCCUGGGGAGUACGGUCGCAAGAUUA